rnacentral:rRNA from 1 species
UGCGCAGGCGGGCUAAUAAGUCAGUGGUGAAAUCUUUCGGCUUAACCGGGAAACUGCCAUUGAUACUGUUAGUCUUGAGUUCGGUUGAGGUAGGCGGAAUGUGUAAUGUAGCGGUGAAAUGCUUAGAUAUUACACAGAACACCAAUUGCGUAGGCAGCUUACUAGACCGACACUGACGCUGAGGGACGAAGGCCAGGGGAGCGAACCGGAUUAGAUACCCGCGUAGUCC